AUUAACACUGCUAACAUCGUGCUGCUCCCAAAGAAAGAAGAUCCAACAGAUAUCAAGGAUUUCAGGCCCAUUUCGCUAGUCCAUAGUAUACCGAAGCUUGUCACCAAGGUGAUGACCGUGCCUUUACAGCGGCUGAUCCACAGCCUCAUCCACCCUCUCCAGUCUGGCUUUCUACGAGGGCGUUGCAUCAUUGAAAACUUUGCGCUGGCAGCCGAGUUAGUACAAUAA
rnacentral:rRNA from 1 species